GAUGAACGCUGGCGGCGUGCCUAAUACAUGCAAGUCGAGCGAACGGACUAUAACCUUGCUUCUCUGAUGUUAGCUACGGACGAUUGAGUGCCACGUGGAUAACCUCCCUAUAAUACUGUGAUUACUUCGUUAAACCGGCGCUAAUACCCGGUAAUAUUUUGAACCUCAUGUUUCAAAAGUACAAGACAUUCUUGCUAUCACUUCUAUAUUGAUUCGCGCUGCAUUAGCUAGUUGGUAAGUUAACGGCUUACCAAGGCAACGAUGCAUAGCCGACAUGAGAGGGUGAUUGGACAGACUGGAACUGAGAGACGGUCCAGACACGUAAGGGAGGCAGCAGUAGGGAAUCUUACGCAAUGGGCGAAAGCGUGACGGAGCAAAGCCGAGUGAGUGAUGAAGGUCUUAGGAUCGGAAAACUAUGUUAUUAGGGAAGAACAUAUGUGUAAGUAACUGUGAACAUAUUGACGGUACCUAAUCAGAAAGCCACGGCUAACUACGUG
rnacentral:rRNA from 1 species